AUGAACGCUGGCGGCGUGCCUAAUACAUGCAAGUCGAGCGAACAGACGAGGAGCUUGCUCCUCUGACGUUAGCGGCGGACGGGUGAGUAACACGUGGAUAACCUACCUAUAAGACUGGGAUAACUUCGGGAAACCGGAGCUAAUACCGGAUAAUAUAUUGAACCGCAUGGUUCAAUAGUGAAAGACGGUUUUGCUGUCACUUAUAGAUGGAUCCGCGCCGCAUUAGCUAGUUGGUAAGGUAACGGCUUACCAAGGCAACGAUGCGUAGCCGACCUGAGAGGGUGAUCGGCCACCCUGGAACUGAGACACGGUCCAGACUCCUACGGGAGGCAGGCGUAGGGAAUCUUCCGCAAUGGGCGAAAGCCUGACGGAGCAACGCCGCGUGAGUGAUGAAGGUCUUCGGAUCGUAAAACUCUGUUAUUAGGGAAGAACAAAUGUGUAAGUAACUAUGCACGUCUUGACGGUACCUAAUCAGAAAGCCACGGCUAACUACGUG
rnacentral:rRNA from 1 species